UACAUAUAUGUAUGUAUAUAAAUGUAUUUUUAUUUGGACUCACUGGAGGAUUAGCUGUGACAGUCAUUUAUCCGAGGGUUCUUUGUCAAGACAACCGUAGUGAUAGUAUUGGAUCCAAGCCGAUGAAAGAAUGGACUAGCAUCAGUAAAAACUUUUUGACGGAACAAUAGAACCCCCAGAGGCAUCAGACGACUGGCACCUUGCUCAUCUAUCAGCACUGGAGGUCUUGGCUCUAUAUAUUUUGGCUGUUGUAAUAUUUCAUGCUCACCUGCUAAAUCAACGAGUGAUACACCAGAGUGUGGCACCUGGUGCAAAAGAAAAAAAAAAGGAUCAGAAGCCAAAGCAGUGUGUUGAAACACAAAAAAGAAAAUAAUAAUUCAGAUGAAGGAAUGGUAGUGAAGAUUUAGUGAAUAGACUUGGAGAAGGUAUCUGACGUGACAAGAGUAUCUUAAGGUGACUGAGAAAGUGGAUUAAGGGUAAGAGUUUCUUAUGUGAAGGCGAAUAACCGUGAAGACCUGCAUAAAUGUGUUCCCACGUUACGUUUAACACCAGUUGCAACUUCGCAUAGAAUUCUCGGUACACAUUUACGAUCGUCAUAUUGCGAUAUAGAUGAGAGUGCGUCAAGUAAGUUGACACCUAAAAUACCAG